rnacentral:rRNA from 1 species
UAGUCCACGCCGUAAACGAUGAUAACUGGGUUUUUGCGAUUUAUUUGCGGGAGCCUGAGGGAAACCAUUAAGUUAUCCACCUGGGGAGUACGUUCGCAAGUAUGAAACUCAAAGGAAUUGACGGGGGCCCGCACAAGCGGAGGAACAUGUGGUUUAAUUCGAUGAUACGCGAGGAACCUUACCCAGGCUUAAAUGUAGAUUGCAUUUUUUAGAGAUAGAAAUUUCCUUCACGGGACUAUCUACAAGGUGCUGCAUGGUUGUCGUCAGCUCGUGCCGUGAGGUGUCGGGUUAAGUCCCAUAACGAGCGCAACCCUUGCCGCCAGUUACCAGCAUGUAAUGAUGGGGACUCUGGCGGGACUGCCAUCGUAAGAUGAGAGGAAGGUGGGGAUGACGUCAAAUCAGCACGGCCCUUACGUCUGGGGCUACACACGUGUUACAAUGGCCGGUACAGAGGGCAGCUACACAGCGAUGUGAUGCUAAUCUUUUAAAACCGGUCGUAGUUCGGA